rnacentral:rRNA from 1 species
UGUCUUCUAAAUAAAGACCCGUAUGAAUGGCUAAAUGAAUAUUUAACUGUCUCUUUUAACCAAUCAGUGAAACUGAUUUUCCAGUACAAAAGCUGGAAUAAAAAUAUAAGACGAGAAGACCCUGUGGAGCUUUAAAUUUUAAUCAAUGUAUAAUUUACACAAAUAUUUAUGAUAAAAGUUUUAAGUUGGGGCGACUUCGGAGAAAAACAAAACCUCCAAGCAAUACAGGCACUGCCAAAACAAGGCCCACACGCCAAACCAAUAUUGACCCAGUACAACUGAUCAACGAACCAAGUUACCCCAGGGAUAACAGCGCUAUCUUCUUCAAGAGUUCAUAUCGACAAGAAGGUUUACGACCUCGAUGUUGGAUCAGGACACCCAAAUGGUGCAGCCGCUAUUAAAGGUUCGUUUGUUCAACGAUUAAUAGU